rnacentral:lncRNA from 1 species
AGUCAUUGGAACCAGUUCUGUGUUACAGACCACCUGAUCAAAGGCAGAGCGAGGCCACUCACACCUGGAUAGAGAGAUGAAGCUUGAAGUGGAAACUUGGAGCAAAUUGCACCAUGACAGCUACAUACAGAGAAAGAGCUUGCAUGUUUGGAAUCACAGAAAAGAAACAUGCUGUGUCUUGAAAGGUUCAGUACUGACUGUGUGCAAUGCAUGUGAAGCACCUGCACCAAGUCAUGGAGCCGAUUACAAAUGUGCUGACUUCAGAGGCUUUGGGACAGUUUCAGAGAGUUGAAGUCAUUCCUUUAUGUUUCUGCAACGUUCAGAAGAGCAAGGAGGGAGCUGUGAGUCAUGCAUAAUGAAUUCCUGGUACAGAGCAGGACUCCAAGGUGGAAUGCUCUCAAAGGCCCUUCUAAGGAUCAUUACUGCUGCACAUUUUACUGAAGUCCAAAAGGAAGGAGUGGAAGUCAGAAGCCAAAGUGAUUCUGCUAGUGUCUGCAGAUGUUUCUACAAGAAUAAGAGAAAGUGCCAGAGAGGCAGCGGUGGAAACAAGGAAGAGUACGUCUGGCUUUCUGAAGGGAAUCUUUGUUUUUUCUUCAAUAAUUAUUUGCAUAAGUGCCGGCCUCAGAGUGGGUUUAAUGCCUUAAAACAGAAUUUCAGGUGA